rnacentral:misc_RNA from 1 species
UUUCCGUAGGUGAACCUGCGGAAGGAUCAUUAUUGUGUAACCGAGGUGCGAGGGCUGUCGCUGACCCGAAAGGUCGUGCACGCCCGAGUGCCCUCACACACAUCCAUCUCACCCCUAUGUGCACCACCGCGUGGGUCCCCCUUUGGCUUGUUCGGAGGGGGGCUUACGUUUUCACACAAACUUUGUAUGCAGUGUAGAAUGUAUUUUUUGUUUUUGCGAUCACGCAAUCAAUACAACUUUCAACAACGGAUCUCUUGGCUCUCGUAUCGAUGAAGAACGCAGC